AACAUUUUCAUCAAUCAAGUAUAACAACCUGGGAACUCCCUGGGUGGACUAUUCUAAGGUGACCCUUGAGCCUGUCUCAUUCACUUGUGUUCCUCUACUCGGGGAGGAGGUUGGGAGAGAAGACGGUGGAGAAAAGACAGCCCCACAGCCAGGCCUCUUCUCCAUAGAUUUUAAAAAUAUCCUCUAAAGCUCCUCCUUUAAGAAUUGGCAGAGACCUGGAAGAUGAGGGGCAAGGAGAAAAUAUAUAAAGACACAGAAAAGAAUGGAUUUGCAAAGCAAAACGGAGCCCAUUCUGAGAACCCUAAGGAAGAACAGCUCGAGGGGGUGAAGACAAGAGGAGGAAAGGUCCUGUUUUGAACCUUGCCCUACGGCUGUCGCAGCUGUCCAGAAGGCCCCGCAGUGUCCCCGUGGUGGUAAAAACAAUCGAACGUGGCUCCAAAUUUGCCUGUUUAAGAAGGACAGAAGUCGCCGUGUAUUUAUCAGCCAGGGCAAGAAAGCAUCCGGGUAAACGUAGCUCAUCUAGGGAUGAAUUAAAUGUAAAUGACAUUACCUGGGACUAGGACAUGGUGGAAACUGUAACCUCGUGACAAGGAAUCCCUUCAUGGCAUUUUAAUCAUGCAUUUCCUCUUGGAGCCUGAUUCUGGAAGGAGGUGAUGCUCCUCGUUGACAAAUCCUCCAGACCAUCGCUCUCUCUCGGAGACAAAGCCUUAUCUCAGCCCGUCCUCUUUAAAGAAACAAAGAAGAGAAUUAUGUGAUGGUUUCCACUGUCGUACCGUCUGUGGCUUUGUUUGAGCGAGAGCUUCACAUCCAAAGCUAAACCUUGACUUAACACACAAACU